rnacentral:rRNA from 1 species
AGCAUGUGGUUAAUUCGAUGCAACGCGAAAACCUUACCUACCCUUGACAUGUCAAGAAUUCUGCAGAGAGUGUGGAAGUGCUCGAAAGAGAACUUGAACACAGGUGCUGCAUGGCCGUCGUCAGCUCGUGUCGUGAGAUGUUGGGUUAAGUCCCGCAACGAGCGCAACCCUUGUCAUUAGUUGCUACGCAAGAGCACUCUAAUGAGACUGCCGGUGACAAACCGGAGGAAGGUGGGGAUGACGUCAGGUCCUCAUGGCCCUUAUGGGUAGGGCUACACACGUCAUACAAUGGCCGGUACAGAGGGCUGCCAACCCGCGAGGGGGAGCCAAUCCCAGAAAACCGGUCGUAGUCCGGAUCGUAGUCUGCAACUCGACUGCGUGAAGUCGGAAUCGCUAGUAAUCGCGGAUCAGCUUGCCGCGGUGAAUACGUUCCCGGGUCUU